rnacentral:rRNA from 1 species
UGCACGAAUGGCGUAAUGAUGGCCAGGCUGUCUCCACCCGAGACUCAGUGAAAUUGAACUCGCUGUGAAGAUGCAGUGUACCCGCGGCAAGACGGAAAGACCCCGUGAACCUUUACUAUAGCUUGACACUGAACAUUGAGCCUUGAUGUGUAGGAUAGGUGGGAGGCUUUGAAGUGUGGACGCCAGUCUGCAUGGAGCCGACCUUGAAAUACCACCCUUUAAUGUUUGAUGUUCUAACGUGGGCCCCUUACCGGGGUUGCGGACAGUGUCUGGUGGGUAGUUUGACUGGGGCGGUCUCCUCCUAAAGAGUAACGGAGGAGCACGAAGGUUGGCUAAUCCUGGUCGGACAUCAGGAGGUUAGUGCAAUGGCAUAAGCCAGCUUGACUGCGAGCGUGACGGCGCGAGCAGGUGCGAAAGCAGGUCAUAGUGAUCCGGUGGUUCUGAAUGGAAGGGCCAUCGCUCAACGGAUAAAAGGUACUCCGGGGAUAACAGGCUGAUACCGCCCAAGAGUUCAUAUCGACGGCGGUGUUUGGCACCUCGAUGUCGGCUCAUCACAUCCUGGGGCUGAAGUAGGUCCCAAGGGUAUGGCUGUUCGCCAUUUAAAGUGGUACGCGAGCUGGGUUUAGAACGUCGUGAGACAGUUCGGUCCCUAUCUGCCGUGGGCGCUGGAGAACUGAGGGGGGCUGCUCCUAGUACGAGAGGACCGGAGUGGACGCAUCACUGGUGUUCGGGUUGUCAUGCCAAUGGCACUGCCCGGUAGCUAAAUGCGGAAGAGAUAAGUGCUGAAAGCAUCUAAGCACGAAACUUGCCCCGAGAUGAGUUCUCCCUGACUCCUUGAGAGUCCUGAAGGAACGUUGAAGACGACGACGUUGAUAGGCCGGGUGUGUAAGCGCAGCGAUGCGUUGAGCUAACCGGUACUAAUGAACCGUGAGGCUUAACCUU